rnacentral:rRNA from 1 species
GGGUUGUGAGGUUAAGCGAAUAAGCGUACACGGUGGAUGCCUAGGCAGUCAGAGGCGAUGAAGGACGUGCUAAUCUGCGAAAAGCGUCGGUAAGCUGAUAUGAAGCGCCAUAACCGGCGAUGUCCGAAUGGGGAAACCCAGUGCAAUACGUUGCACUAUCAUUAACUGAAUCCAUAGGUUAAUGAGGCGAACCGGGGGAACUGAAACAUCUCAGUACCCCGAGGAAAAGAAAUCAACCGAGAUUCCCCAGUAGCGGCGAGCGAACGGGGAGCAGCCCAGAACCAGCAUCAGCGAUGCCAUCAGAGGAACGGUCUGGAAAGGCCGGCGAGAGAGGGUGACAGCCCCGUACUCGAAGGUGGCAUGGCUGUGAGUUCGACGAGUAAGGCGGGACACGAGAAAUCCUGUCUGAAGAUGGGGGGACCAUCCUCCAAGGCUAAAUACUCCUGACUGACCGAUAGUGAACCAGUACCGUGAGGGAAAGGCGAAAAGAACCCCGGCGAGGGGAGUGAAAGAGAACCUGAAACCGUGUACGUACAAGCAGUGGGAGCCUUGAUUCGUCAGGGUGACUGCGUACCUUUUGUAUAAUGGGUCAGCGACUUAUAUUCUGUAGCAAGGUUAACCGCAUAGGGGAGCCGCAGGGAAACCGAGUCUUAACUGGGCGAAGUAGUUGCAGGGUAUAGACCCGAAACCCGGUGAGCUAGCCAUGGGCAGGUUGAAGGUUGGGUAACACUAACUGGAGGACCGAACCGACUAAUGUUGAAAAAUUAGCGGAUGACCUGUGGCUGGGGGUGAAAGGCCAAUCAAACCGGGAGAUAGCUGGUUCUCCCCGAAAGCUAUUUAGGUAGCGCCUCGUGAAGUCAUCUUCGGGGGUAGAGCACUGUUUCGGCUAGGGGGCCAUCCCGGCUUACCAACCCGAUGCAAACUGCGAAUACCGAAGAAUGUUAUCACGGGAGACACACGGCGGGUGCUAACGUCCGUCGUGAAGAGGGAAACAACCCAGACCGCCAGCUAAGGUCCCAAAGUCAUGGUUAAGUGGGAAACGAUGUGGGAAGGCCCAGACAGCCAGGAUGUUGGCUUAGAAGCAGCCAUCAUUGAAAGAAAGCGUAAUAGCUCACUGGUCGAGUCGGCCUGCGCGGAAGAUGUAACGGGGCUAAACCAUGCGCCGAAGCUGCGGCAUUCAGAGGACAGAUUUCAGACGACAGAGGACGGAAUGAUGUCUUGAAGGGUUUGAUUAAUCAGGUUCUGGAUAGUAAUCGUCUGUGGCUGUGAAGCCAUAGCGAAAAUGCUGACCGGACUGGGACGUCAUCUGUAAGCUGUAUUCUGACGUCUGUUCUCUGAAUGGGUAGGGGAGCGUUCUGUAAGCUGUUGAAGGUGGCGCUGUGAGGCCCGCUGGAGGUAUCAGAAGUGCGAAUGCUGACAUAAGUAACGAUAAAGCGGGUGAAAAACCCGCUCGCCGGAAGACCAAGGGUUCCUGUCCAACGUUAAUCGGGGCAGGGUGAGUCGACCCCUAAGGCGAGGCCGAACGGCGUAGCUGAUGGGAAACAGGUUAAUAUUCCUGUACUGAAUGUGACUGCGAAGGGGGGACGGAGAAGGCUAGGCCAUCCGGGCGACGGUCGUCCCGGUUUAAGCGUGUAGGUGGGAGGAGCAGGCAAAUCCGCUCUUCUGUAACACUGAGGCGUGAUGACGAGCUGCUACGGCAGUGAAGUGGUUGAUGCCCGGCUUCCAGGAAAAGCCUCUAAGCAUCAGGUGACAUUGAAUCGUACCCCAAACCGACACAGGUGGUCAGGUAGAGAAUACUCAGGCGCUUGAGAGAACUCGGGUGAAGGAACUAGGCAAAAUGGUGCCGUAACUUCGGGAGAAGGCACGCUGGCGGUAGGUGAGGGGCUUUGCGCCCGGAGCCGAAGCCAGUCGCAGAGACCAGCUGGCUGCAACUGUUUAUUAAAAACACAGCACUGUGCAAACACGUAAGUGGACGUAUACGGUGUGACGCCUGCCCGGUGCUGGAAGGUUAAUUGAUGGGGUUAGCCGCAAGGCGAGGCUCUUGAUCGAAGCCCCAGUAAACGGCGGCCGUAACUAUAACGGUCCUAAGGUAGCGAAAUUCCUUGUCGGGUAAGUUCCGACCUGCACGAAUGGCGUAAUGAUGGCCAGGCUGUCUCCACCCGAGACUCAGUGAAAUUGAACUCGCUGUGAAGAUGCAGUGUCCCCGCGGCAAGACGGAAAGACCCCGUGAACCUUUACUAUAGCUUGACACUGAACAUGGAGCCUUGAUGUGUAGGAUAGGUGGGAGGCCUGGAAGUGCGGACGCCAGUCUGCAUGGAGCCAUCCUUGAAAUACCACCCUUGAAUGUUCGAUGUUCUCACUUAAGCCCGUUAUCCGGGCUGAGGACAGUGUCUGGCGGGUAGUUUGACUGGGGCGGUCUCCUCCCAAAGCGUAACGGAGGAGCACGAAGGUUGGCUAAUCACGGUCGGACAUCGUGAGGUUAGUGCAAAGGCAUAAGCCAGCUUAACUGCGAGAGUGACGGCUCGAGCAGGUACGAAAGUAGGUCUUAGUGAUCCGGUGGUUCUGAAUGGAAGGGCCAUCGCUCAACGGAUAAAAGGUACUCCGGGGAUAACAGGCUGAUACCGCCCAAGAGUUCAUAUCGACGGCGGUGUUUGGCACCUCGAUGUCGGCUCAUCACAUCCUGGGGCUGAAGUAGGUCCCAAGGGUAUGGCUGUUCGCCAUUUAAAGUGGUACGCGAGCUGGGUUUAGAACGUCGUGAGACAGUUCGGUCCCUAUCUGCCGUGGGCGCAGGAAGAUUGAAAGGGGCUGCUCCUAGUACGAGAGGACCGGAGUGGACGCACCGCUGGUGUACGGGUUGUCAUGCCAAUGGCAUCGCCCGGUAGCUAAGUGCGGGAGAGAUAACCGCUGAAAGCAUCUAAGCGGGAAACUUGCCUUGAGAUGAGUCUUCCCUUGACUUUAGUCACGGAAGGAACGUUUAAGACGAAGACGUGGAUAGGCUGGGUGUGUAAGCGCAGCGAUGCGUUGAGCUGACCAGUACUAAUGAACCGAGCGGCUUAACCUUACAACGCCGAAGGGGUUUUG